UACGUAGGGGGGCAAGCGUUGUCCGGAAUCAUUGGGCGUAAAGAGCGUGUAGGCGGUCCGGUCAGUCGGUUGUGAAAGUCAAGGGCUCAACCCUUGAAUGCCGGCCGAUACUGCCGGGCUAGAGUCCGGAAGAGGUGAGUGGAAUUCCUGGUGUAGCGGUGAAAUGUGCAGAUAUCAGGAGGAACACCAAUGGCGAAGGCAGCACUCUGGGACGUGACUGACGCUGAGACGCGAAAGCGUGGGAGCAAACAGG
rnacentral:rRNA from 1 species